CGCGUAGGUGGUAGUGUAAGUCUGGGGUGGAAUCCCAGGGCUUAACCCUGGAACUGCCUUGGAAACUGUAUUACUUGAGUCAGUGAGGGGAGGGUAGAAUUCCUGGUGUAGCGGUGAAAUGCGUAGAUAUCAGGAGGAAGGCCCGUGGCGAAGGCGGCCCUCUGGCGCUGGACUGACACUGAGGCGCGAAAGCGUGGGGAGCAAACAGGAUUAGAUACCCUGGUAGUCCACGCCCCAAACGGUGGGCACUAGGUGUAGGGCUCGUAAGGGUUCUGUGCCGAAGGGAAACCAUUAAGUGCCCCGCCUGGGGAGUACGGCCGCAAGGUUGAA
rnacentral:rRNA from 1 species